AGGCAGCAGUGGGGAAUAUUGCACAAUGGGCGCAAGCCUGAUGCAGCCAUGCCGCGUGUAUGAAGAAGGCCUUCGGGUUGUAAAGUACUUUCAGCGAGGAGGAAGGCGUUAAGGUUAAUAACCUUGGCGAUUGACGUUACUCGCAGAAGAAGCACCGGCUAACUCCGUGCCAGCAGCCGCGGUAAUACGGAGGGUGCAAGCGUUAAUCGGAAUUACUGGGCGUAAAGCGCACGCAGGCGGUCUGUCAAGUCGG
rnacentral:rRNA from 1 species